rnacentral:rRNA from 1 species
GAAACUAACAAGGAUUCCCGUAGUAACUGCGAGUGAAGUGGGAAGAGCUCAAAUUUGAAAUCUGGCGGUCUCUGGCCGUCCGAGUUGUAAUCUAGAGAAGUGUUACCUGCGCUGGACCGUGUACAAGUCUCCUGGAACGGAGCGUCAUAGAGGGUGAGAAUCCCGUCUCUGACACGGACUACCAGGGCUUUGUGGUAUGCUCUCGAAGAGUCGAGUUGUUUGGGAAUGCAGCUCAAAAUGGGUGGUAAACUCCAUCUAAAGCUAAAUACUGGCGAGAGACCGAUAGUGAACAAGUACCGUGAGGGAAAGAUGAAAAGAACUUUGGAAAGAGAGUUAAACAGUACGUGAAAUUGCUGAAAGGGAAACGCUUGAAGUCAGUCGCGUUGGCCGGGGAUCAACCUCAUUUGUUUGUGUGGUGUAUUUUCUGGUUGACGGGUCAGCAUCAAUUUUGACCACUGGAGAAAGGCUUGAGGAAUGUGGCAGCCCUGGCUGUGUUAUAGCUUCUUGUCAGAUACGGUGGUUGGGAUUGAGGUAUGCAGCACGCCGCAAGGCCGGGGCAUUAGCCCACGUCCGUGCUUAGGAUGUUGACAUAAUGGCUUUA